AACCUGACUGACGGUGAUUCAGCCAACGGCGAGCAGUCGAACAACCUCCUCCUCAAAAAAAAAAAAAAAAAAAAAAAUCGAACUCGCCUGCACCGUCUACCCUCCGCGGAGCCACCAUCUGCCGAGGGCUCGCAGGGAGGAUUUAGCCGGCGGCCUCCUCCUCCACAAUUGCGUGAACAAAGAGGGUGUGGCGGCUGUCAUGCUGUGAAUGGUGCAAGGCCUCGGCGGCCGGCGGCGAUGUAUGUUCAGGUGCCGGAUCCUCCUGCUUCUCAUGUGGAUGCGGGCGAACCGGCGCUGCUGGCUGCUGCUGCUGCUGCUGCAACCAGUGCAGCGGAAUGGUGGUGGCCAUGAUUUUGCCGUGCGGGGCUCAACUUGGGCGGCGCGAGGCGCGCGUGCGCGGAGGUCGUCUCCGGCCACGGGCCACGGCCCAGGCGACAAGCAUCAAGCAAGGAGCAACGAACGCCACACCGACAGUAGGCCUCCACAAAAUUUAUUCGCCGCGGGAUGAGAGCCAAGUUCAAAUGUUCAAUUAUGCAAUCAGUGACGCACUUGUGCAAUUCCCACUAGAUCUCGGAGCCACCAAGUCUAAUGGACCUACUAAAGUAUUUAGGUCAGCGAAUGUGUCUAUUCCUGUUUAUCCUCCCAGUUCUUUGUGGCUUGUUCUAUUGUAGCAUUGAUCUGUGCACCAUCCGGAAGUCUUUUGCCAUGUUAUUCCAAACUAUCAUAAUGACAAUGGACUGGUGAAAACUUGGAAAUUGCAGGACACCGUCAUUGGUAGAUGAUGCUAGAACAAUGUCUGUUGUCUGAUGAUGCUUGUUUCAGAACAGAAGUCAGUACAGUUCAUCUUUUGUUUCAGGAGGGCAGUACAAUUCAUCCCGCAGUACAACCGAUCAUGUAGUUAAAAAUACUGAUCAUAUGGAGUAUUUGUGAAAACAAAAGUACAGGCAACUCGUGCAGCAUAUGCCAUCCUUUGUACCGUCAACUUUCCAAAGAAUCAAUCAAUAAGCAGAUUAACAUUUGGUGAA